rnacentral:rRNA from 1 species
AGUGAACGCUGGCGGUAUGCCUAACACAUGCAAGUCGAACGGCAGCACCGUAAGAGCCUGCUCUUACGGGUGGCGAGUAUCGGACGGGUGAGGAAUACAUCGGAAUCUACUUUUUCGUGGGGGAUAACGUAGGGUAACUUACGCUAAUACCGCAUAAGACCUACGGGUGAAAGUAGUGGAUCUUCGGACCUUGCGCGAUUGAAUGAGCCGAUGUCGGAUUAGCUAGGUGGCGGGGUAAAGGCCCAACGAGGCGAGGAUCCGUAGCCGGUCUGAGAGGGUGGUCAGCCACCCUGGCAGUGAGACCCGGUGCAGACACCUACAGGAAGCCACAGUGGGAAAUAUUGCGCGAGGGGGGCAAGGCUGAUCCAGCCAUACCGCGUAGGUGAAGAAGGCCUUCGGGUUGUAGAGCGCUUUUGUAGGGAGAGAAGAGCAGCAGGUUCAUACCCCGCUGUGCUGACGGUACCCAAAUAAUAAGCACCGGCUAACUACGUG